AAGCGCUGCAUAUAGAACGGCUGGUGAGAAUUGUUCUGCGUUAAGCAGCUGCAUGAAGUGAGUUUUGAGCUGUUCUGCAGAAAGACUAACUGCAAUAGAAUUUCUUUUUCCUACAACCAAUUUAACUGCUUUCCAAAACUAUCUUGGCGAUCUGGCUUCGUUAAUAAAAUCUAUGUUUUUUAGAUCAUACGUUUUUUUCUUUGCGGAGCAUAGGUUUUUAAAAUGUUUGUUUGGUGCUGCAUAGUUUGCUUGUAUAAAGCUAUUAUUCAUUUUCCGAAACAGUCGUAAAAAUACAAAGGAAAUAUCUCUUACUUUUCUGCAUUCAUCAUGAAACCACUUCUGCUUAAUUUGUUUGGUUCUGUAAGCCAGAUUGUUGAACUUUGGGCCAGCGGUUUUUAUCAUUUCAGUUAGUUUUUCGACUUUGAUAUUUUCUGGGGCCUGAUUAUGAGGUUCGCUUCGGAUCGUUUUCAAUUCGACCUUUCAAAUUCGACUCGCUUCGUAUUUCCUUAUUAACGAACUCGCGAAAGUAGUUCUUCCUAUAUUCCAGUGAUUUGACACUUUGGUGGUUUGACUUGUUCUCUAUAUUUUCCAGUUAUUUGACACUUUUGGUUUGACAGCUUUCCACAAAUUUUGUUUUGUUUUGAUUGAAUUUGUGAAAUUUGCGGUGAUUUAUUUAAUAAACAAUAUUAAAAUUAAAAAAUGGAAUCAAUUAUGGUGUAUAUUUAUUCUGAAAGUGAGGAAUUUGAGGAAUCCCAGGAAUCCUCAAGAUAACGGAUGUCCAGGAGACUACUAAGGAGCAAAUCUUCUCCUCUAGAUCUCCCUUCAACUGAGUAAGUAUUGUUUCCUUUUAGUUGAAAUCAAAUUAAUCAAUUAAUUUACACACUUUGUCUUAAUAGAUUUAUCAAACUAUUUCGACUUUCGAAAGAAGCUUUUGUCCUCAUUUUGCAAGAGAUCAGUGAGGAAUUCAAGGAUCAGAACAGCAACGGCAUUCCUUCAAUUUUAAAGCUUGCCGCUACUAUGAGAUUUCUUGCUGAGGGAUCGUACCAAAAGGGAGUUGGACAAGACGUACUGCUUGGAAUGGCACAACCAACAGUCUCAAACGUUUUGUCUGAAACUCUUAAAAUUAUUGAGAGAAAGUUGUACCCAAAAAUGAUAAAUUUUAAAAUGAAUGAACAGGAAAAGCUAGAAGCAAAAACAGCAUUCUAUGAAAAUAGUGGUUUUCCUGGGGUAUAUUAUAAUGUGCGUUGAUGGAACGCAUGUAAGCAUUAUACGUCCUACAACAAAUGAACACCAUUUUUACAACAGAAAAGGAUAUCAUAGCUUAAAUAUAAUGGUGGUGAGUAUAUUCGUGUAAAAUAAGGUCAUUUUUAAAUUAUUUAUAUUAUUUUACAGGCCUGUGACCACAAAAUGAGGAUAACUUGCGUUAAUCCCAAUUACAGGGGAAGUUCUCAUGACUCUGUUGUGUGGUCAAUGAGUAAAGAGAGAGCUUUUAUGGAAGAACAAUUUAAACAUGGGGAUAGCAGUAAGAUUCUCGGUGACGCUGGUCGAAGUGUCGAAACGUAAUUGAACGAAGUUUUGGCCUGAUGAAGGGAAGGUUUAGAUGCCUUUUGCAAUCUAGACAGUCGCAUUAUCGUCCGGAGAAGGCUGCACGCAUUGUAAAUGUAUGUGCUAUGUUGCACAAUGUGUGUAUAAAGUUUAAUACCCCGUUGGAUGAAGAAUUUAAAUCACAAGUCAUGGAUGAUGUCUCAGACUUAGUUUCCACAUCUGAAGCAAAUAAUUAUUCCAAUACUUCAAAACAAAUAAGAAAUCGAAUAAAAGAUAGCUUGUAAAUAAAAUUAAUAAAAAAAAAUCA